rnacentral:rRNA from 1 species
CAGUCUCUAUUGUACCGGCUAUCAGACCUGUUUGCGUAAAGAAGGAGUAUAUACCACACUAAGCAGCCUUGGACCUGACAAGUCUACCAACUUAAAACCCCUCGGACGAUCGGUGGGCAAAUUACAUACUUGUAUGUGUUACUCGCUAUUUACUCUAAGUUGGAACUUCUGCUGGAAUUGGUGACCAAACUAAGUAAACAUACGUGACAUCGGGCAUCGUUGCGUGCCCGUAAGAUGAUCAUAUACUUAUCCACCCGUGUGCGGGUCUUCUCGUUUUGUAUGUGCUGUAGUGCGGAUCGUUAGUUGUGCGCGGAAGUGUGCAGUGUAGUGCGCGUGUUGUCUAACUUCCGUCUAGCUGUGUUCGGUUACUGUUGGUCAACGUAGCCGUUCCAGCUGCGGAGGGGUCCUGCGGGUCGUGUAGUUUCCGGGCUUCUUCUUUGUUGUUUUUGUAGUAGUUUAAACCCAUUGUUGUAUAGGUGUGUACAGCUCCUGCUAGUCAACGUGGCCGUUCUAGCCGUCCUGUGGGCCGCAUAGGUUCCCUUACCGUUCUGCUGGCUGUGUAGCUUCCGGACAUCUUCCUUGUUAUCUUUGUAGUAGAUGAUACCCAUCAUAUAUAUUGACGAACUACAGACGAGUUUAGAAGGGUAGUGUCGAAAGAAGCGUUGAAGGAAUGUUUGUGGGAUAAAAGUACAAGUAACAAAUCAAUCUUGUAAAAAAUUUGGUUUUAAAAUAACCACGUAAUAGUCUACUUAGUGAGAAAAAAUAUUAACAAAACUUCCGUUGUUGGAUACCGCAUGUUCUUCAACUCACUCGAUUGGUGUUCUCCUGUGUGUAACUUAUUAUUUCGGUUUCAUUACUCUUACACCCUAAGUUAGUUGGGAAGUGGACUACUUGAAUAUUCGUAACUAUACUAGAUCUACCUACUCGUCCAUAAAAGAAGUGUAAUAUUGUUACCAUAAAGAAGAUGAUAGUUUUAAUAAAGAUUCUAAUAGAAGUAAGUCAAAACUUCCCACUAUGUUAAGUACGAUGAUAGAUCUUCUUAGAUUACCUUUGAAUAUCUAGCUUCUAGUUGCUCCCAAGGUAUAUACGAAAAUCGUUAAAAUUUCAACAUCUAGGCUGUUUUAUAGCGGGUCAGUUGCUUCUUUGAUUUUUGUUAAGAUAUGUUUUGUCUGGAUUGCUUCUACUUUCCAAGGAGCCUAUUAAAAGGUCUAAUCAUGAAGCUCAAACGAUCGUUUCUAUGGGAUGUUCUUGUCGAUCUUUUUAUGGUUGUUACGAGUCCAUACAACCAUCAGUAUAAAGAAUGAAGGUUCACCAAUAAAAAUUAAACUUCAGUAUACAACCAUCAACACGAUUAUAUGAGGGUUACUAAUUGAAAGAUUAAAACUUCAGUAAUUAGAAUUUUAAACGUCUACAGUAACCCAAGAAUGGUUCUAAUUUGGUUAUCUUAGUUCCUACUGUUGUUGUUUUGUUGUUGAAAUCUAUAUGCACUCUAGCCUUAAGAAUACGCUCUUAUUCACAUAUAGAUACGCAGUUGAAAAGUAAUUAUUCCAACAAAAGAAAUAAACUACUUCUCCGACUUUCAAAGUUAUAUAGUCAGAGUAAGGACAACUGAAAGAAUCUGCCUUCUAGACUUCUUCAGCGUUUCUAAUAUACACUUAAUACACCUGUUUCUGAAUAGAAAGCCAAGUUUGAGUUGUUAUUCUUGAAGUGAGAUCCAUAUGUUUUGAUAUGUCAUUUUUUUGUAAACACGGAGUACUCUCCGAACUUUUCGCUAUGAAUCUGCUAUUUCGACUUCUCCACUACCAACUAAUUUAGUAAUUUAAAUAAUAAACAUGUGGUUAAUAAUAUGGGAAAAAUAUACUUUGUUACCUUCGUCUAUAAAUACAAGAAAUAGGUAACACGAGUUGUCCUAAACUACCUACUACUCCGCCUGUACAAUUUUGUUCUUAGUUUAUUUGUCUUACUCGGUCAAUUUUUCGUUUACACUCGAAUGGUUCUUGUGUACGCUCAACCAGGGACGCUUUAUCCUAGGUCUUCUAUUUUGCCCUCAUGUCUUGGAGUCUUCCUCGUAGUUGUAUUUUUAUGUAGUUGUUCACAGCCAUCGUCUUUUUAUUCCGCCUUUAGAUAACAUAAUAGUCUGAACCUUCUACUUCUUUUACUUUUGUUAUUUAGACCUUUUAUUCUUUUUCUCACGGGUUUUUAUGGACUUCACAAUCACGUUUUCGGUUUGGAACUUGUACCUCCGAGUCACAACCGAUGCGGUUUCUAUUUUCAUGACAAGUACGUCGGUGUUCCUACUGUACUUCAAUUUCAGACCCUUAUACCUCUCAAACUCUGAUUUGCAUAACUACAUUUUAAACUCCUGUGUUCAUCAGUUAACGUUCUAGUUCAUACGGUUUGUUCUCGGUACACUCUCCUUCCUGUAAAAGUUUUUUAACAAGCUCAGUCAUCAAAUGGGCGUCUUCGGCCUCAUAUACGAAUUAUCAAUCGUACAAAAGUAUAUACUAGAUGUAUACAUACUUAUUAUACUGUCAAACAAAAAACUUGUUAAGAUAACAUGUGAUAAGUCUUCUUCUUACUCGCCGCGUAAGUAAACCAGAAUUAGUUAAAUUUACCAUUCAUUGCAAGUCUUCU